rnacentral:rRNA from 1 species
CCUACGGGUGGCAGCAGUGAGGAAUAUUGGUCAAUGGUCGGGAGACUGAACCAGCCAAGCCGCGUGAGGGAGGAAGGUACAGAGUAUCGUAAACCUCUUUUGUCAGGGAACAAGGACUUGGACGCGUCCCCGGAUGAGUGUACCUGAAGAAAAAGCAUCGGCUAACUCCUUGCCAGCAGCCGCGGUAAUACGGGGGAUGCGAGCGUUAUCCGGAUGUAGUGUGUUUAAAGGGUGCGCAGGCGGGCUGUUAAGUCAGCGGUGAAAGUGUGUGGCUCAACGAUAAAAUUGCCGUUGAAAAUGGAAGACUUGAGUGUGUGUGAGGUAGGCGGAAUGCGUGGUGUAGCGGUGAAAUGCAUAGAUAUCACGCAGAACUCCGAUUGCGAAGGCAGCUUACUAAGCCACAACUGACACUGAAGCACGAAAGCGUGGGGAUCAAACAGGAUUAGAUACCCGUGUAGUC